GCAAACUUGGUCAUUUAGAGGAAGUAAAAGUCGUAACAAGGUCUCCGUUGGUGAACCAGCGGAGGGAUCAUUACUGAGUUACCAAAACUCCAAACCUUUGUGAACAUACCAUCGUUGCUUCGGCGGGCGGCUCCCGGGGGAGCCUUCAGGCCAUUGCGGUGCCCGCCGAAAGCCAAAAACUCUUUUUAUUACUAUGCAUUUUCUGAGUGGACAUAUCAAACAAGUAAAAACUUUCAACAACGGAUCUCUUGGUUCUGGCAUCGAUGAAGAACGCAGC
rnacentral:misc_RNA from 1 species